UACGGAGGGGGGCUAGCGUUGUUCGGAAUUACUGGGCGUAAAGCGCGCGUAGGCGGCUUUGUAAGUUAGAGGUGAAAGCCCGGAGCUUAACUCCGGAACUGCCUUUAAGACUGCAUCGCUAGAAUCGUGGAGAGGUGAGUGGAAUUCCGAGUGUAGAGGUGAAAUUCGUAGAUAUUCGGAAGAACACCAGUGGCGAAGGCGGCUCUCUGGGACGGUACUGACGCUGAGACGCGAAAGCGUGGGGAGCGAACAGG
rnacentral:rRNA from 1 species